AACAUCUAAGUACCCCGAGGAAAAGAAAUCAACCGAGAUUCCCCCAGUAGCGGCGAGCGAACGGGGAGCAGCCCAGAGCCUGAAUCAGUGUGUGUGUUAGUGGAAGCGUCUGGAAAGGCGCGCGAUACAGGGUGACAGCCCCGUACACAAAAAUGCACAUGCUGUGAGCUCGAUGAGUAGGGCGGGACACGUGGUAUCCUGUCUGAAUAUGGGGGGACCAUCCUCCAAGGCUAAAUACUCCUGACUGACCGAUAGUGAACCAGUACCGUGAGGGAAAGGCGAAAAGAACCCCGGCGAGGGGAGUGAAAAAGAACCUGAAACCGUGUACGUACAAGCAGUGGGAGCACGCUUCGGCGUGUGACUGCGUACCUUUUGUAUAAUGGGUCAGCGACUUAUAUUCUGUAGCAAGGUUAACCGAAUAGGGGAGCCGAAGGGAAACCGAGUCUUAACUGGGCGUUAAGUUGCAGGGUAUAGACCCGAAACCCGGUGAUCUAGCCAUGGGCAGGUUGAAGGUUGGGUAACACUAACUGGAGGACCGAACCGACUAAUGUUGAAAAAUUAGCGGAUGACUUGUGGCUGGGGGUGAAAGGCCAAUCAAACCGGGAGAUAGCUGGUUCUCCCCGAAAGCUAUUUAGGUAGCGCCUCGUGAAUUCAUCUCCGGGGGUAGAGCACUGUUUCGGCAAGGGGGUCAUCCCGACUUACCAACCCGAUGCAAACUGCGAAUACCGGAGAAUGUUAUCACGGGAGACACACGGCGGGUGCUAACGUCCGUCGUGAAGAGGGAAACAACCCAGACCGCCAGCUAAGGUCCCAAAGUCAUGGUUAAGUGGGAAACGAUGUGGGAAGGCCCAGACAGCCAGGAUGUUGGCUUAGAAGCAGCCAUCAUUUAAAGAAAGCGUAAUAGCUCACUGGUCGAGUCGGCCUGCGCGGAAGAUGUAACGGGGCUAAACCAUGCAC
rnacentral:rRNA from 1 species